rnacentral:rRNA from 1 species
UACGGAGGGUGCAAGCGUUGUCCGGAAUCACUGGGCGUAAAGCGCGCGCAGGCGGCCUCGCGCGCCCGGCGUGAAAGCCCCCGGCUUAACCCGGGGAGGGUCGUUGGGGACGGCGGGGCUUGAGGGCGGGAGAGGGUGGUGGAAUUCCCGGUGUAGUGGUGAAAUGCGUAGAGAUCGGGAGGAACACCCGUGGCGAAGGCGGCCACCUGGGCCGA